rnacentral:lncRNA from 1 species
AGUUUUAGAUGCUCCUUCUCUUCAAAUUUCGUGCUCAUCAAAGUACAUAUUUUUCUGCACUGUAUCAAAGAAUCCUUUGUUUAAUAGAAGACACAGAAUAAUUCAGUAUGGACCUUUGUCUGAGGCUGAGUAAUAUUUCUUGGCAUUAUCUUUAUCUAUUCAUCUGUCGAUGGACACUAAGCUGUUUCCAUAUCUUGGCUCUUGUGAACAAGGCUGCAGUCAACACAAGAAUGCAGAUGUCUCUUUGAGAUUCUGAUGUCAAUUCUGGUGGAUAUAUACCCCAAAGUGGGAUCGCUGGAUUGUGCUGAGUGAAAUAAGCCAGUCACAGAAGGACAAAUAUUGUGUGAUUCCACUUAUGCGAGCUAUCUGAAACGGUUCAACUCACUAUAGUUGACAACACUGCAUUGUGUCAUUGAAAUUUGCGAAGAGAGAACUUAAAUAUGCUCGCAAGAAAAAAAAGAAAGAGAAGAAAAGAGAAACCUGUGUGGUGACGGAUAUGUUAUUUAUCCUGAUGAGGGGAAUCCUUUUGCAAUGUAUCAAAUCAUGUCAUUGUAAAGAGAUAACACGUUUAUUUGGCAGUGAUGCCCUAUUAAAACUGGAAAAAAUUCCCCCCCAAACCAAAAAAGAAGAAAAAAAUGUCAAACUCACAGAAACAGAGGAGAAUGGUGAUUGCCAGGAGCUGGGGGAAGAGGAAAGAGGGAGCUGCUGUCCGACAGGCACAAAGUUUCAGUCGUGCAAGAUGAAGGCAUCAGAAGAGAUCACAUCCAUGUGCUUAGAGAACGUCACGUGUGCUCUGCGUCCUCCACGUAGGCAGGG